rnacentral:rRNA from 1 species
CCACUAGCCAAUGACGGGUAUGGGCCUUGAGAGAGGGAGCCCAGAGAUGGAUUCUGAGACACGAAUCCAGGCCCUACGGGGCGCAGCAGUCGCGAAAACUUCACAAUGGGGGCAACCCCGAUGAGGGAAUUCCUAGUGCUAGCACAUUAGUGUUAGCUUUUCUUUAGCGUAGAUAACUAGAGGAAUAAGGGCUGGGUAAGACGGGUGCCAGCCGCCGCGGUAAUACCCGCAGCCCAAGUGGUGGUCGAUUUUAUUGAGUCUAAAACGUUCGUAGCCGGUUUGAUAAAUCUUUGGGUAAAUCGGAAAGCUUAACUUUCCGACUUCCGAGGAGACUGUCAAACUUGGGACCGGGAGAGGCAAGAGGUACUUGGGGGGUAGGGGUAAAAUCCUGUAAUCCUUCAAGGACCACCGGUGGCGAAGGCGUCUUGCUAGAACGGAUCCGACGGUGAGGGACGAAGCCCUGGGUCGCAAACGGGAUUAGAUACCCCGGUAGUCCAGGGUGUAAACGCUGCAGACUUGGUGUUGGGGACCCUUUGGGGGUGUUCAGUGCCGGAGAGAAGUUGUUAAGUCUGCUACUUGGGGAGUACGUCCGCAAGGAUGAAACUUAAAGGAAUUGGCGGGGGAGCACCGCAACGGGAGG